UACGGAGGGUGAGAGCGUUAAUCGGAAUCACUGGGCGUAAAGCGCGCGUAGGCGGCUUUUCAAGUCAGGGGUGAAAUCCCACGGCCCAACCGUGGAACUGCCUUUGAAACUGUAGAGCUUGAGUGUCGGAGAGGGUGGCGGAAUUCCAGGUGUAGGAGUGAAAUCCGUAGAUAUCUGGAGGAACACCGGUGGCGAAGGCGGCCACCUGGACGACAACUGACGCUGAGGUGCGAAAGCGUGGGUAGCAAACAGG
rnacentral:rRNA from 1 species